UUAGAUUUAACCCGAUUCUAUUCAUCGUUCGAAUUAAUACACACAAAUAAAUACUAGCAUUAGCGAUACAUGAAUUAAACAAGCUCAUGAUUUACUAUCUAGAACAGAUCUUAGGGUAGUUGAGUGAGGAUCAUACCUAUAUACUCAAGGACUUAAUUUUAAAGACAAGGAAGCCAAAUACUUGCUAAUUGCAGCAGAAUAUUGAGCCCAGCUCCAAUGAAGCCUUCAACAGACUUUGUACCUACAGUGACUUUGUGUCAAGGAAAGACUGCCGACUGAUGCUAAUUGCAGCAGAAUAUUGAGCCCAACUCCAAUGACACCUUCAACAGACUUUGUACCUACAGUGACUUUGCGUCAAGGAAAGGCUUCCGACCAAACCUCCGACAAGCCGGAUAACACAACAGCAAACGUCAAGCCUCAGCGGCGAAUCAGAUCCGUGAACAGAACCUUGAAUGAACGACGGAACAGGGACCUCGAAUAGCUACCUCCGUCUACCUCGAACUCACACUCAAUAUAGUUCUCAGACGAGCACUCCAAGUAGCGAACCAAUUUAGAGAAGCAAAAUGCUUUUUCGGAAUUCGAUUAUCGAAUCCCCAACAGAAAUGUACAUAAGAUCGCGCCGGGAAACAAGCAACAAAACCAAUGAUCGAAAAUUCAACAAAUCUCAUAUUCAAUCACAACAAAUAACAAGUUGGCUCCGUCGGAAACGAACAGAGAACGACGAGUGGAACCUCGAUGUCGAUCUCUAAUGAAACCUCUGAUUUUCCGACUCACAUCGACUACUCUUGGCUGUUUCGAACUAGAUACAGAGAUUCAAAGGGUGGUUUGCUUUUUUUUUUUUUGUAAUUUUUUGUGUGUGUUUUUCUGUUUACACCAAUGUAUCAAUGGGGUGUUUUGAUGGCUGAAGACGAGGCAGAAGCUGGGGGAAAUCGACGGUGUGGGUGGUCGACGAAGGUUUUUGCGUGGAGAUCGUCGUUUGGCAAUAGAACCUGGUGGUAUGGAGGCUUGACCACUGGUGAAGGGUGGUCGAUGGAAGGGGUCGUUUGGUUUUUUGAAGAAGGAGCAGCAGGUGGUCGUUUCGGCGAAGCUUCUCACAUGGAGAAGAUCCCUAAACAGUAGUGUCCGUCCGUUUUUUGUGACUUUUUCUUCUUUUUUUCAAUGGCUGAUGGCUUCCCCCUUUUUGUAUUGUGCGGAAAUGGUUAUAUAGAGUGUAUGGGUAGGGUGUUAUGUGGGGGGAGUUUUA
rnacentral:lncRNA from 1 species